rnacentral:tRNA from 16 species
GCGCCCGUAGCUCAGAUGGAUAGAGUACUUGGCUACGAACCAAGGGGUCGGGCGUUCGAAUCGCUCCGGGCGCACCA